GGCAGGUCCAGCCCUGGGCGGAAGCUGUGGCUCUGUGGCACCUGCGCAGAAAGGUGCGUUAAGAUGGAGGUUGCUGGAGUAGAAGGCUGUGAGGCGACGGUGGUGUUUCUCUGAGAUGAAAUACGUAAAAGCUUUUAUUUCAGGUAAGUGAUCAGCUCAUAUCAGUUGAGGUGCAGGGCUCAGCAAACAGUCCAGGUAUUGUCCCAGCCU
rnacentral:lncRNA from 1 species